rnacentral:lncRNA from 1 species
CUUCUGGAUUCAACUUAAAAGGUACACUCCCCAAAAGCCUGAAUUUGAGAACACUUAGGUUUAAGGGGAAGGAAGAAGGAAGGUCCCAGGAUACCUCCCCCACCUAGAGCACUGAGUCUCCAGUGGUAGCUGGAACCUCUGGGCAGGCAAGGGUGCUGGUCUGGAGGGAGUGCCUUGCUAUGUGAACUUUAAAACUACUCCACCCUACUCUGACCAUACUUUAGAAGAUUUGAUUUUGCUAUCUCCUGAUUGUAACAAUGGAGAUACUUGGUCUAACAGAAUCAGGAAUAUCUUGGGAACUUUACAUUGCUCCAAUUUACUUAGUCUAAUAAGGUCAGGAAUGUCUGCACCAAUACUUAAGGAUUAAGUAUUUAGCAUGAUGGCUUUUGAUAGACGUGUGCAGAAACAGCUGACAGACCCCUGGGCUGUCCUAAGUCAAGCUAAGCUACUAUUGGUACAGAUAAGAUGCAGGAAAGUGAUGUAAAACCGUCUAUAUAGGGCAGGUCACUUCCUCUCUUUGCUUCUUUUCCUAGAGAGGUGGCUCUGGAUGAUCACUUCCUGUGAGCAGGCCUGGGUGGCAGUUUGAUCCUGGAACUCAGCCUGCAGGAGCUCCCUCAGACAGCUUCCUUGAGAUGGUCUCAUGAUGAGGACACUUAGGAUCAGAAAAGCAAAGUGACUUGCUCAAGCUGGAUUUCAGAGUCAAGAUGGUGGAGUCCAGUUUGCAUCCUGGAGAUAAAUGAAUGGGACAGAAAGGAGUCAGAAUGAGCUCCACCUCCACCCAAGAUCCAAAAUGAAUCUUCCUCAAACAGUUAAUGCUUCAAGGUCCAUUGACUUCUUCAGUCUAGGAAGAAGAAUGAGAAGGUCAUCAAAGUUUUUUAAAUGGAACAUUUUGCUACAAAAGCCUCUUUUCCUUCUCUGCCUCU